AGUUACCUUAACAUUGACCCCGUAAACUGGUUGUGUUCAGACUUGAUUACUCUUCACCAUUUUCAAUAUGAA
rnacentral:tRNA from 1 species